CAAGUUAAACGGCCGCGGUACCCUAACCGUGCGAAGGUAGCGCAAUCACUUGUUCUUUAAAUAAGGACUAGUAUGAACGGCAUCACGAGGAUUAUACUGUCUCCCUUUUCCAAUCAGUGAAACUGAUCCCCCCGUGAAGAAGCGGGGAUACACUUAUAAGACGAGAAGACCCCAUGGAGCUUUAAACUCAAUAACAACUGCCUUGCACAUAUCAAAAUAAUUAGGCAAGAGUGAUUAUUAGUUUUCGGUUGGGGUGACCACGGAGCAAAACAAAACCUCCAUGAUGAAAAGAACAUCAUUCUUUAUUUAAGAG
rnacentral:rRNA from 1 species